rnacentral:rRNA from 1 species
GUAAUCACUUGUCUUCUAAAUAAAGACCUGUAUGAAUGGCUAAAUGAGGACAAACCUGUCUCUUACAGCUAAUCAGUGAAACUGAUCUUCCAGUACAAAAGCUGGCAUAACCACAUAAGACGAGAAGACCCUGUGGAGCUUAAGACAAAACACUAACAUUUACAUAGUACAGAAUCUUUAGUUGGGGCGACUUCGGAACAAAACAAAACUUCCGAGCAGGGACUUAUUACCUCUCACCAAGGCAAACAGGCCUAAGCAAUAAAACUGACCCGGUUCACACCGAGCAACGAACCAAGUUACCCCAGGGAUAACAGCGCCAUCUUCUUUAAGAGUCCCUAUCGACAAGAAGGUUUACGACCUCGAUGUUGGAUCAGGACAACCAGGCGGUGCAGUGCUGCCAAAGGUUCGUUUGUUCAAGGAUUAACAGU